AUUGAACGCUGGCGGCAGGCCUAACACAUGCAAGUCGAGCGGAUGAGGAAAGCUUGCUUUUCGAUUCAGCGGCGGACGGGUGAGUAAUGCCUAGGAAUCAGCCUGUUAGUGGGGGAUAACUCGGGGAAACUCGGGCUAAUACCGCAUACGUCCUACGGGAGAAAGUGGGGGAUCUUCGGACCUCACGCUAACAGAUGAGCCUAGGUCGGAUUAGCUAGUAGGUGAGGUAAUGGCUCACCUAGGCGACGAUCCGUAACUGGUCUGAGAGGAUGAUCAGUCACACUGGAACUGAGACACGGUCCAGAGUCCUACGGGAGGCAGCAGUGGGGAAUAUUGGACAAUGGGCGAAAGCCUGAUCCAGCCAUGCCGCGUGUGUGAAGAAGGUCUUCGGAUUGUAAAGCACUUUAAGUUGGGAGGAAGGGUAUUCACCUAAUACGUGGGUACUUUGACGUUACCAACAGAAUAAGCACCGGCUAACUCUGUGCCAGCCGCCGCGGUAACAC
rnacentral:rRNA from 1 species